rnacentral:lncRNA from 1 species
CCAACUGUCACAUAUUCCUGUGUCUGUGCCUUCACAUAUACCAAAAUGUAUGAUAAUCAUCUCUGGAUGGAGUCGUUACUGCUGUAUGGAGGAUUAUAAGGAAGAAGAGAUGCACAUCUUUUUCCGGGAAAAAGAACACUAAUUAUCCAUGUGUAACAGAUGAGGAAACUGAGACACUGAGAAAUAGAGACUUUUCCAAGUUUGACUGCUAGUAAAUUUAAGAAUGAGUACUACAGCUCAAGUCUUCUCAUGGUUUUACACCAUGGUGCCUGAGAAAUGGCAGAUGGGCUCCACAAAUGGAAGGAUGAAAGAGUGAAAGAAGAGAGGAAGCUGACUAUUUGUCAUCUGUCUUGGUCUUGGACAUCAUCUCAUCCUGAUCAUCAGGCGGUGGCUGCAUCUCCUUCAAGACACCAGCUUCCAGUCACAUGACUCUGACCCCUGAGUUCCCAUAGCAUU